GAUGAAGAACGUAGCGAAAUGCGAUAAGUAAUGCGAAUUGCAGAAUCCGUGAGUCAUCGAAUCUUUGAACGCACAUUGCGCCCUUUGGUAUUCCGAAGGGCAUGCCUGUUCGAGCGUCAUUAUCACCCCUCAAGCCCCGGCUUGGUGUUGGGCUCUCGGUGGUCGUCUCCGACCACCCGUCUCAAAGAUAGUGACGGCGUCCCAGAGGGAACCGGUACGAGGAGCUUUCACGAGCAUGUACGCGGGACGACUCUGCGGGCGACGGUCUUAUCUACUUUAUAUACAAGUGUUGACCUCGGAUCAGGUAGGAAUACCCGCUGAACUUAAGCAUAUCAAUAAGCGGAGGA
rnacentral:misc_RNA from 1 species